GACGAACGCUGGCGGCGUGCUUAACACAUGCAAGUCGAACGGAAAGGCCCUGCUUUUGUGGGGUGCUCGAGUGGCGAACGGGUGAGUAACACGUGAGUAACCUGCCCUUGACUUUGGGAUAACUUCAGGAAACUGGGGCUAAUACCGGAUAGGAGCUCCUGCUGCAUGGUGGGGGUUGGAAAGUUUCGGCGGUUGGGGAUGGACUCGCGGCUUAUCAGCUUGUUGGUGGGGUAGUGGCUUACCAAGGCUUUGACGGGUAGCCGGCCUGAGAGGGUGACCGGCCACAUUGGGACUGAGAUACGGCCCAGACUCCUACGGGAGGCAGCAGUGGGGAAUAUUGCACAAUGGGCGGAAGCCUGAUGCAGCAACGCCGCGUGCGGGAUGACGGCCUUCGGGUUGUAAACCGCUUCCGCCUGUGACGAAGCGUGAGUGAUGGUAAUGGGUAAAGAAGCACCGGCUAACUACGUG
rnacentral:rRNA from 1 species